CUGUAAUCAACAUAAUAAAAAGGCUAGGUUCUCUCCAGCAGGUGACACAUCAGCAUUUUUAAGCUCUGUGGAGAGGACAUGUCAUUAAAUGAAAAAACUCAGCUAACCAAUCAAAACAUUUGUAUCUCCACAAUCGGAAAUCAACACAAUCAGAUCGGGAGAAGUUCUCUCUCUUCCUCUUUCGAUUUAAUCACUGUCUCUCUUUCUCUUUUGCUUUGAAAUCGAACGAGGAUGGAGAAGAAGACAGCGAAGAAUACAGGUGCUGAAGAACUUCAGACCCAAUCACCACGCUCUUCUCCACCUUCUCUUCACCACUCUCCUACGGAUUCUCUUCACCACUCUCUUCUCCGGCUUCUCUUCACCACUCUCUUCUCUGGCUUCUCUUCUCCAUUUAGCUGCCGUCAAUGUCAACUUAGAGAGAUAGAGCUCAGCCAUGUUUCUCCUCCUUCCCUGUUGAUCUCUCUUCCUCCAUGUCACCUCUAUAUUGUAUUAGCGUGGAGAUUCAUUAGCAUCACCAGCCACCUCUCCUCAUCUCACCGGAGCUAUUGUCUCUCCCCGGGGAAGCCAUUUUUGUUGUGAUCCUUAUCAUUGUGGGAUCGUGACCAAAAUGAAAUGAGAAUUGAAACCGGAGCCGUCACGUUCCAUCAGGACCAGCCACCAAUCCGAGCCCCAUUAACCAUCCAUCACGGGAGAGCCGCCGUCGUGAUGUCACCACCUUUGCUUAUGGGUUUUGGUUAUGUCUUUGAGAUUUUAAUAAAAUUGUUAUCAGAUUAAGAGGGAGAUUUCGACCAUGAAACUCGUUCGUCAUCCUUGUGUUGUUCGUCUUUACGAGGUAAAGUUUUGUUCUUUCCUCUACUUUAUACUGAAAAGAUUAUAUCUAUCUUCAUAUAGAAGUUGAUUCAUUGCUGUUUAGGUUUCUAGCAGGUCGCACAAAUAUUUACAUUCUCUUGGAGUAUAAUACAUGUGGUGAACUGUUUAUAGAAUUGUGAAUUAUCUAGCUCUCGACUCAACUAUUUCAGGUGAUGAUAAUCUUUGGAAGACAUUGGUUAUCCACUUGUUACAUGUUAUAGGUUCGUAAUGAACAUAUUAGUGAAGCAAAAACUAGGAAGUACUUACACUAGCUUACCAAAGGAGUUGAUAGUAAAGGGGUCUACCACAGAGAUCUAAAGGUGGUUUCUCUUGCUGACAAUCAACAAUCUUUUCAAACAAAAUCUGGUUUUGGUUAUUUUUGUAGCCUGGAAAACUUCUGCUAGAUUCUCAAGGAAAUCUCAAGAUAUCUGAUUAUGGGCUCAGUGCAUUACCAGAACGAGUAAUGGUGGUUUCAGUUUAUUGUUUUACUUUCAUAUUGAAUUUUUAUCAACUAAUCAUCUUACUUGUAUCUUAAGGGAGUUACCAUUUUAAAGACAACUUGUGGAACUCCAAAUUAUGUUGCCUUUUAAGUAUUGAGUCAUAAGGGUUACAAUGGUGUCGUGGCAGAUGUAUGGUCAUGUGGGGUCAUCCUUUAUGUUCUGAGUCAUAACUCAUAAGAAUUACAACUGAGCCUUGUGAUGAGAACGACUCAUGUUCCAUUAUCUUAUACUAGAUUCUUUCUCUGCGCUACGCGCGGAUAAUAUAUUUAAAUUUGUUAUAUUUAUCAUUUUUAUUUGUAUGUGAAUUUUUAUAUUAAAUUAUAUAUAACUAAUUUUUAAAUUUCA